UGGGGAAUAUUGGACAAUGGGCGCAAGCCUGAUCCAGCCAUGCCGCGUGAGUGACGAAGGCCUUAGGGUUGUAAAGCUCUUUUGGCGGGGACGAUAAUGACGGUACCCGUAGAAUAAGCUCCGGCUAACUUCGUACCAGCAGCCGCGGUAAUACGAAGGGAGCUAGCGUUGUUCGGAAUCACUGGGCGUAAAGCGCACGUAGGCGGAUUGUUUAGUCGGGGGUGAAAUCCCGGGGCUCAACCUCGGAACUGCCUUCGAUUCUGGCAAUCUGGAGUCCGGAAGAGGUGGGUGGAAUUCCUAGUGUAGAGGUGAAAUUCUUAGAUAUUAGGAAGAACACCGGUGGCGAAGGCGGCCCACUGGUCCGGUACUGACGCUGAGGUGCGAAAGCGUGGGGAGCAAACAGGAUUAGAUACCCGUGUAGUCC
rnacentral:rRNA from 1 species